UUCCUACGGGGGGCAGCAGUGGGGAAUAUUGCACAAUGGGGGAAACCCUGAUGCAGCAACGCCGCGUGAGUGAAGAAGUCAUUCGUGAUGUAAAGCUCUAUCAGCAGGGAAGAAAAUGACGGUACCUGAGUAAGAAGCCCCGGCUAACUACGUGCCAGCAGCCGCGGUAAUACGUAGGGGGCAAGCGUUAUCCGGAUUUACUGGGUGUAAAGGGAGCGUAGACGGUCCGUUAAGUCAGCGGUAAAAUUGCGGGGCUCAACCCCGUCGAGCCGUUGAAACUGGUAGACUUGAGUUGGCGAGAAGUA
rnacentral:rRNA from 1 species